UCAGUCAGUAUUCAGAAGUAACCAGCUAAACAACAAACAACACACCAACAAUGAAGAUGUUGCUCCAAAGAGUUUCCAGAAUCGUCCUCACGGUGGUCGUUGUACUGAUACUGGCCGCAAGUCAAGAAAAAGCUUCUCCAAAGCACUGCUGUGGUUAAUGGCUCCUCGAAAAAAAAACAACAGGUUACUUUAUUAUCAUCGACAAAGCAAUAUCACUGCCAUUCCAACAUGUACCCUAAUUUCAUAAAUUUGGUAAUUGAUAUUUAGUCUCGGUUAGAAACUACUGGAAAAUGCGUUCAUUAUAAUUAUGGGAUUUAACAUGAAAUAAAUACAUUAUGCAUGA